rnacentral:rRNA from 1 species
UACGAAGGGGGCUAGCGUUGUUCGGAAUUACUGGGCGUAAAGCGCACGUAGGCGGACAUUUAAGUCAGGGGUGAAAUCCCAGAGCUCAACUCUGGAACUGCCUUUGAGACUGGGUGUCUUGAGUAUGGAAGAGGUGAGUGGAAUUCCGAGUGUAGAGGUGAAAUUCGUAGAUAUUCGGAAGAACACCAGUGGCGAAGGCGGCUCACUGGCCCGGUACUGACGCUGAGAUACGAAAGCGUGGGGAGCAAACAGG